GACGAACGCUGGCGGCGUGCUUAACACAUGCAAGUCGAACGGACAGGCCCUGCUUUUGCGGGGUGCUCGAGUGGCGAACGGGUGAGUAACACGUGAGUAACCUGCCCUUGACUUUGGGAUAACUCCAGGAAACUGGGGCUAAUAUCGGAUAGGAGCUCCUGCUGCACGGUGGGGGUUGGAAAGUUUCGGCGGUUGGGGAUGGAAUCGCGGCUUAUCAGCUUGUUGGUGAGGUAGUGGCUUACCAAGGCUUUGACGGGUAGCCGGCCUGAGAGCGUUGCCGGCCACAUUGGGACUGAGGUACGGCCCAGACGCCUACGGGAGGCAGCAGUGGGGAAUAUGGCACAAUGGGCGGAAGCCUGAUGCAGCAGCGCCGCGUGCGGGAUGACGGCCUUCGGGUUGUAAACCGCUUUCGCCUGUGACGAAGCGUGAGUGACGGUAAUGGGUAAAGAAGCACCGGCUAACUACGUG
rnacentral:rRNA from 1 species